AUGCCUUGGCCUAAGAUCCAAAGCCUUAAGUGACUGGCCUUUGCCUCUUUGCCACUGGCAUGUCCUCGCUCUUUAUCCAAACACAGGUCAAGCCACAGAAGUUACUGGGAUUCCCAGAACGUAUUUGCAUGCGUUUCUGUCCCUGCGUCCAUCUCCAUUUUCUCCCAAGCAUUCUUUAAGCCCAAGCCCCACAGUCAAUCUCUCUGACUCCUCCAAGAAAAGGCCAUUGCAGCCAUGAUUAGUGAAGGGCUGCAGAUACACAAGUAAGGUGGGACGCACUGCAACUCACCUAGCAUCCUCCCAGGGCUUACUCUGCCAUAGGAUCUCUGGUGCCAGACCUAAAAAUGUGUGCGGAAGGAAUGGAGGCAGACUAGCUGAGCACUUCAUAUCUUUCAUCUCUUGUUUGUUUGCUUGAGAGAGAGGAUCUCCUUCUGUUGCCCAUGCUGGAGUGCAGUGACUAUUCACAGGCGCAAUCACAGCUCACGGCAGACCCAAACUCCUGACCUCAGGUGAUCCUCCCACCUCAGCCUCCCAAGUAGCUGGGACUACAGACAUAAGCUACUGCACCCAGCACUAUCCGUCAUCACUUGAUCCUCACCCAGUCCUGUUCCAUCGGGCUUAUCGUCUUCAUUGCCCCAGUGAGAGCACCAAGGCUCAUAGAAAAGCCAGUCGCUUGCCCAGGGUCCUGGGACGUAUGUCUGAAGCCAAGGCCAGGAGCUCUCCAUUAUACCACAUGGCCUCAAAGGCCCUCCUUGGUUCAAAGACACUUGAUUGAGCAUUUUGUAGAAACAUCAUCUCCUUGGCUUUGUUUAAAAUCAACAUCACCACCCACAGCCCCCCACCACACACACACAAAAAAUAUAUCUGUGCACAGUGGCUCACGCCUGUAAUCCUAGCACUUUGGGAGGCCGAGGCAGACGGAUUGCCUGAGCUCAGUAGUUCAAGACCAGCCUGGACAACACAGCAAAACCCCAUCUCUACUAAAAAUAGAAAAAUAUUAGCCAGGUGUGGUGGUGCAUGCCUGUAGUCCUAGCUUCUUAGGAGGCUGAUUCAGAAGAAUUGCUUGAAUCUGGGAGGCAGAGGUUGCAGUGAGCUGAGA
rnacentral:lncRNA from 1 species